UACGUAGGGGGCAAGCGUUGUCCGGAAUCAUUGGGCGUAAAGCGCGCGUAGGCGGCCCGGUAAGUCCGUUGUGAAAGUCAAAGGCUCAACCUUUGAAUGCCGAUGGAUACUGCCGGGCUAGAGUCCGGAAGAGGCGAGUGGAAUUCCUGGUGUAGCGGUGGAAUGCGCAGAUAUCAGGAGGAACACCGAUAGCGAAGGCAGCUCGCGGGGACGGUACUGACGCUGAGGCGCGAAAGCGUGGGGAGCGAACAGG
rnacentral:rRNA from 1 species